GACGAACGCUGGCGGCGUGCCUAAUACAUGCACGUCGAACGCAGUGGGGACGGGUGAGUAACACGUGGGUAACCUCCCCAUCAGAGGGGAUAACACUUGGAAACAGGUGCUAAACCGAUACUGAUGGAUGGACCCGCGUUUCAUUAGCUAGUUGGUGAGGUAACGGGUCAACAGGGCCACGAUGCAUAGCCGACCGUAGAGGUUGAGCGGCCACACGGGGACUGAGACACGGCCCAGACUCCGACGGGAGGCAGCAGUAGUGAAUCUGCGGCAAUGGACGAAAGUCUGACCGAGCAACGCCGCGUGAGUGAAGAAGGUUUGCGGAUCGUAAAACUCUGUUGUUAGAGAAGCGGUAUCUAACCAGAAAGCCACGGCUAACUACGUGCCAGCAGCCGCGGUAAUAC
rnacentral:rRNA from 1 species